GUUUGGGUGAUGACUUCAGUGUGUCGGAUACCCCUGCACUCGUCCUAUGAGUGAUAACUGCUGUCUGACAAAC
ensembl:snoRNA